rnacentral:rRNA from 1 species
AUUGAACGCUAGCGGGAUGCUUUACACAUGCAAGUCGAACGGCAGCGCGGACUUCGGUCUGGCGGCGCGUGGCGGACGGGUGAGUAAUGUAUCGGAACGUGCCCAGUAGCGGGGGAUGACUACGCGAACGCGUAACUAUUACCGCAACCGCACUACGGGGGAAAGCAGGGGAUCGUAAGACCUUGCACUCUUGGCACGGCCGAUAUCGGAUUAGCUAGUUGGUGAGGUAACGGCUCACCAAGGCGACGAUCCGUAGCUGGUCUGAGAGGACGACCAGCCACACUGGGACUGAGACACGGUCCAGACUCCUACGGGAGGCAGCAGUGGGGAAUAUUGGACAAUGGGGGCAAGCCUGAUCCAGCCAUGCCGCGUGUGUGAUGAAGGCCUUCGGGUUGUAAAGCACUUUUGGCAGGAAGGAAACGACUCGGGCUAAUACCUCGUGGAACUGACGGUACCUGCAGAAGAAGCACCGGCUAACUACGUG